rnacentral:snoRNA from 1 species
UUUCCCAUUUGACUACCACAUUUUCUCCUGUGAUAGAUUUUAGUGGGAGGGCUUUUCAGUGCCCUCUUCCUAUAUGAAAUGGCUGAACAGAAGAAA